CCGGGGCCUGGCGGGGCCGCCCCUCCCGCUGCUGCCGGGCCCUCCCGCCCCGGCGUGCUGGGUCACCCCCAGGAAAGCGCCGUCUGCUGCCGAGGCCGCGUUCAGCCCUGGCAUGGCAGGGCGCGGGCGGCAUUCCUGGUCAGCCCCGGGCUGGGAUGAGGGGUGCCCGGUGGCCCGGAGGCUCGCUCCUAAAGAGCUGCCGGUGUAGCGGUGCGGGACGGCGGGCAGAGCUGCUCCACAGCCGGUGCCGUUCCAGAGGGAAAGCCAGAGAGGCCUCUGUACCUGUCGGCUGGAAUUGUUCCUGCACAGUGGGCGCCUCCUCACGAAAGAUAACAUUUAUUCUGGGAGAACAAAUGAAGAAAGGAGCAAGAGGGAGUGACUGAAAUGGAAAUAAUGCUGGGUGAGAAAAAUGCAGAAGUUAAGAAAAAAAGAGUUCCUGGACACUGCUGCCAUCAUGGCAACCUGAAAACACAGUGUCCCCGAGUUUGUUGCUCAAGAAAAUAAAGCAAUCAGGACUUGAAA